rnacentral:rRNA from 1 species
CACGCCGUAAACGAUGGAUACUAGCUGUUCGGAGCAAUCUGAGUGGCUAAGCGAAAGUGAUAAGUAUCCCACCUGGGGAGUACGCACGCAAGUGUGAAACUCAAAGGAAUUGACGGGGGCCCGCACAAGCGGUGGAGCAUGUGGUUUAAUUCGAUGAUACGCGAGGAACCUUACCAGGGCUUAAAUGUAGAUUGCAUGAUGUGGAAACACGUCUUUCUUCGGACUAUCUACAAGGUGC